UGAGAGCUCAUCGUCUUCAAAUUUUGGUGCCUCUCUCUCACUCUCUCUCUCUGUAAUCGAUCUCCGUAAUCAACCUGAAGAGGCUUCUUCAUUCUCUUGUACUGGUUUUUGGUUGUAUAAUUGCUUCAUCUUUGGGAUGUCCAAAGGGUGUCACACCUAAGUACAACUUGAAGCCUCUUGUGCCAAUGCUGUUUGAUAUAAAACAUGACAUUGAUGUUGAGAAAAUGCUUUUUUAGAUAUUCUCUUUGAAGAAACUGUUGCUAUUUUUCAUUUGAACGGUUACUACUUUGAUUUGAAUUUGGAAACUUUCAGUUUUAAUUUUUGUAAAAUUUUACUUUUUAUAUACUCAUUGUGGUUUGGGAAUAAAAUGUUUUCGAUGUGUGGAUGUCAA